rnacentral:lncRNA from 1 species
ACGUUGGAUGGAGAGGCAAUCUAGGAAGUGAUAAAGGAAAGGAAGUGGGAGGGGCUAGUGAUGUGGCUGGGGAUAAGGGAUAGCUCGACAUCAGGAGGAGAGUUGGAUGGUGAGGCCCAGAGAGUCAGUGUGGUUGGGUGGAAAAGGGCGAAAAUCCACUUUUAAAAAUAUUGGAAGUAAAAAUUUUUCACUUUUAUUUUUUAGAAAUAAUGAAAGUUGCUUAAAUAAUAAUAAAAACAAAAGUAGGGUAACCAAACUAUUUUUGCAUUGAAUUCCGUAUUUUUGUUAAAAAAGAAAGAAUUAGAAAAAAUAAUGCUAAAUAGGCGCUAAGUAGUCUAAGUUUGGUGUGGGUUGCCAGUAAUAGGUCCUUAAUUUAGGUUCAAAUUCAUUUAUUUCUGCUAUAGGAGCAAAGCCAAGCCGAGUCAAGUAGUUAAUAGCUAGAGCUUGACUCGAUUUAAAAUACUCAGUCUUGAAACUUCACUCAAGAUCGAUCGAGCCUUAAUAACCAAGUUUGAACUCGACUCAAUACAAAAAAAAAAAAAAAAGA